GGGGAUGACGUCAAGUCCUCAUGGCCUUUAUGACCAGGGCUACACACGUACUACAAUGGCAGGUACAAAGGGCAGCCACUUAGCGAUAAGGCGCGAAUCCCAUAAAACCUGUCUCAGUCCGGAUUGGAGUCUGCAACUCGACUCCAUGAAGUUGGAAUCGCUAGUAAUCGCAGAUCAGCACGCUGCGGUGAAUACGUUCCCGGGCCUU
rnacentral:rRNA from 1 species